rnacentral:rRNA from 1 species
UACGUAGGGGGCAAGCGUUAUCCGGAAUUACUGGGUGUAAAGGGUGCGUAGGCGGUAAUGUAAGUCAGAUGUGAAAGCCCGAAGCUCAACUUCGGGACUGCAUUUGAAACUACAUAACUAGAGUACAGGAGAGGUGAGUGGAAUUCCUAGUGUAGCGGUGAAAUGCGUAGAUAUUAGGAGGAACACCAGUGGCGAAGGCGACUCACUGGACUGUAACUGACGCUGAGGCACGAAAGCGUGGGGAGCGAACAGG